CUCUAAAAAUAAAGUCAAACUGACUCGUGAGGAGCAUAGCUUUAACAAGACAAGCCGAGAGGACGUUCAAUAUUUAUUAUUGUAUUCAUAUGGAUUAAUUUAACAAAAAUUGCUUAUAGUUAGUAUUUAGUAAUAGUUGAAAUGUGGAGAAAUCUUUGUUAGCGAAUAUCAAAUAGGAGAUAUCAAAAAUGGCGAUUCUAGGAGUUCAAAUAGUGGUGACAAUGAUCACUGCGAGUGUCAUGUCAAAGAUUGGUCCCUUUAAGAGUGUGGGUCGUUGGUUACUGACCUCCUCCGGAUUAGUGCGCUACUGUCACCCCACUGAUGAAGAGCUCAAAGCCUAUGCCCCAUCCGUCAACGGUAUUAAAAGAAGACAUCACAAACAACAGCAACAACAACAACAAGAGACAUCCACGUUCAAUGUUCCCAGAAACAUAAAUGUUGAGUUAGAAACGGCGCCUAUUCGUCCAAUUGAUGUGGUUCAACUUCGAUUUUAUUCCGAGUAUCAAUGGCUACUUGACUUUUCAAUCUAUGCCAUAUUUGUGUAUAUAUUUACUGAGUUGUAUACAUUCGUGAUGCCAGAUAGAAUUCAAACUGAAAUCAAUUUGAGUCUUGUGUGGUGUAUUCUAGUUGUUGGAUUCUCCUACUGGAUUCUUCUAUCUCUUUCAAGUCUCUAUUUUGAGGGUGAAGAAAGUACAGGAGAGAGGUCCCUCGUCAUCGUUAUGGCUUUUGUAUAUCUAUUUUUUGCCAUGAUGAUACUUAUUGUACAGGAGGAUACGCUAGAAUCAGGCUUAGAUGAAGCUUAUAAAAGCUUCAACAUGUCUGCUGCAGCUUUUUUGGCAGAAAAUACUGGACUUGACUCGAGUGGGCCCGCUUCAAAGCUUGUGCUCAAAUUUUUUUUAGCUAUUUGGUGCAGUUCCAUUGGUGCGUUGUUCACAUUUCCGGGUCUCAGAAUUGCUCGAAUGCAAUGGGAUGUAUUAAAAUAUACUGAAAGUCAACCGUCACUCAUGGUAUUACAUGCCGCUUUUAUUUCCCCUUUAUUAUUGACAACACUAUGGGUUCGACCAUUAAGUAGGGACUACUUAACUAUAAGAGUUUUUAAAGGAAUGGAAGGACCUCUGAUGACAGAAUCUCAAUUUGAGUCCAUGCGGUUAUACCUCAUCAUUGCUGUGUUUCUUUUACGGUUGUGGGUGAUGCCCCGAUAUCUCCAAUCUUAUUUGAAUAUCGCUUACCAUAAAAUGGAAGAAAUGAAAACUGAAGCUGGAAAAAUAUCAAACAUCAAUCUUCAGAAAAUGGUGGCUCGCAUUUUCUAUUAUUUAUGUGUCGUUACACUCCAAUACCUUGCACCAAUGAUACUCAUUCUUUUUUUGUCAUUAAUGUACAAAACUAUGGGUGAAGGAGGUACAUGGACUGGUCUUUGGGUAGAAAGGAGCGAGGAGACAUGUUCUAUCAACGAAGACUCAAAUACGCCAUUCUCUAAAUUAUUUGAGCAAAAAGAUGUAGAAGCUGUCACACAGCAAGUGUCAUUAGCUUGGCAGUCAUUAAAACAAGUUUUCUCGAUCGCCAUGUGUAAAGGGGUAUUGGGAUUUACGACUUGGUGGUGUUGCUUCAUAUGGUUUGUUUCAUCGGCAAUCGGAAUAGCUUAUCAAUCCUAUUUUGCAGAAGUAUAAUAGCAAUCAAAGACUUAUAUUACCACUCACAUUCAUCACAACCAAACACCAACACAAUCGGCUUUGCAGGAAUCUUCGGGAGUCCAAAUUCAUCAACAAGAACACCAUCUUUGUCUGUAGCCACAGAUUCAGCUCCGGGUUCCUUAUCAGGAGCAUCAGGAGCGGAAAUAGCAUCGUCUAGGUACGACGUGUCAUCGUCGAGAGCGAAAUCAUCUCCAAGGGCAUCAAGUUCAGCCUCUAAAUCAGCUUCGUCGAUAUCUGGCAUACCAUAACUACGUCCCAAGACAUCUUGAACCUCGUUUGCAUCUUCCAACAUAUCAGACAAGUCAUCUUGAAGAUCCUAUUUAGAAGACAAUAUAUAAAUUGUCAAUUUCAUAUCGCUAAUUUUUCAUUAUAACUCUGAUUACCUCAAUCUGCUCAAUGUUAA
rnacentral:misc_RNA from 1 species